UUUUUUUUGCCUCCUCUGGAAUCAUCCCAAGUCAGUCAUGCAAGUGCGAAGUAUACUAUGGUUUGAGAGAUUAGCUACCUCCACUCUAUAUGUGUUCCUAGACACCAAGCCACUGAUUGAUUUGUUCAAGGAAGAGAUGUCUAUGCUUGGGAUCUAAUCCAUGGACUUGCGUAAAGACUUCAAAAUCCUUGAUGAUGGAUCCUAACCAGAACUCGGUAGUUGUCGGAGUUCGGGUUCCGGCAAAACCCUAAAGGUUCGAACACUGGGGUGCGCACGAAGAUCUCUCCCUUCCCUAGCUCACCCACUCACCACGAUCCCAAGGCUCAGCACACCAAACUCAAAGAACAAGGGACACAGGGUUUAUACUGGUUCGGGCCACCGAUGUGGUGUAAUACCCUACUCCAAUGUGGUGUGGUGGAUUGCCUCGUUGCCUAAGGAUGAACAAGUACAAGGGAAGAACAGCCUCCUGCGGAGAGGUGUUCUUGGGCUCGAUGAGCUUGUGUGGUUGAGGAUGAUCUGAAUGAUCCGUCCAAGAUCAGUUCCCAGAUCCAUUCCAUGAUCAGUUGCCCCCUACUGUGGUGGCUAGUCCUAUUUAUAGAGGCCCUGGUCCUCUUCCCAAAUGUAGGCGGGAAGGGAUCCGACAAUGGCCAAAUUUGAAGAGGGGACAACCAGUACAAGUUAUCCUGACUAAAGGUGGUCUUCGCCUGCCAAAGGCUCUGGUGGUGACGCUGUCCUGGGCUCCACGGUGACCUCCGUCCCGCCGUCCUGCUGGUCUUGGCCUUGUUGCACCGGUAUGGAAACAUUUGCCUGAUGCCUCGGAACUCCUCGCAUGCGCCUGCCUCUUUAGCACCAAAGAGGAAACAAGUACACUGCGCGCGCAGGCGCCCGCCUUGCCUUGGUCAUCAUGGCUUGCAUCAUAGGAACCUCACGAGGUGCCCCUUACCUUGAUCUCUCCGCCCCUCGCGAGCCAGCCUUGUGAGGCCGCCCCUGAGGAGGUCUUGUGUCUUCCGCCUCGCGAGGCUUGGCCCCUCGCGAGGGUCUUGAGCGUUUGCUGAUGAAGUUGGGCCGUACAGGGCCGCUGGUGGAGCUACGCUGUGGGCCCCAGGCAGGCAAGUCUGGGGACCCCCGUUCCCAGGACGCCGACAGUAGCUCCCAGUCCCAAGGUGCACUCGGACUUGGCUUCGAGGUGAAGCCAAGGGGCAAGUGCAGAGGGCCACGGGCCCCAACAGCCUGCAGCCUCAGUUGACGCGUGGCGAUUGAUGGGACGUGGGCGUCUUCGCUUCCCCAUGCUGCCUUGGCAACUACCCAAUUUGACGAGUCCCUGGUGCAUGCAGAGAAAACCAUCAUUACCUGUGAUCGUGGGGGUCGCCGGUUGGCCUUCUCCUGCUAUAAAUGAGGAAGGGGGCGGAGCCCCGGUCGCCCAUCUCUUCCUGCUCCGCUCGCUUCUUCUUCCUUGCUUCAUUUCUAGCAGCGACACCCAUGGCGCCGAUACGGAGAUUCUUGGCCGCAAAGAAAGGAAAGGCCCCCCGCGACGAGCCGGGGCUGCUUCCGCCGAAGAACAGGCUGGCCUGCCGUCGCGAUGUAUUCGUGAGGUCGGAGGUGUCGAGGCCUUGGAAUGAGCGGCCUCCCCUCGGGUAUCCACUGCGUUUGUACGCCCAAGCCGAGGGCUCCGGAGGAAGUGGUGGCUCAGUCUCACUAGUAGUUCCACGUGGAAUUCAACGUUUAGCUUGUUACCUCAGCUACUAUCUUGUGCCCUCGACAGGGUCUUGUAGAUAGUCAGGCUUCUCAGCCUUUUUCAUUUGUAGUUGUCUGUACUCAGACAAGUUAAGUUUCCGCAUGUGCUUAUUGCUUGUAUGACUUGAAUGCUGGGUCAUCAGACCCAUGUUUGUAAUAUCUGGCUCCUCGGAUCCUAAUGAAUAAAUACUUUGAGUCGUAGAGUUUUGUUGUGAUGCCAUGUUGUAUUUGCACAUAUCGAGCAUAUUGUGUGUAUGUUAUUGAAAUUCUUGGUAUGUGUGGGAUCCGACAACCUAGUUGUUUAUUCUUGGUAGCCUCUCUUACCGGGAAAUGUCUCCUAGUGCUUCCACUGAGCCAUGGUAGCUUGUACUGCUCAGGAACACUUAGGCUGGCCAGCAUGUUGUUCCUUUAAGUCCUUGUAGCAUGCUACGACUUGGGUUCAUACGUUGUUGAUCGACACGUUCAUUACUGGGUCAUGUAUGCCUGUCCAUGUAAGUUAGCACCACCUUGGGUUUACGACUAGUCAUGUCGGCCCGGGUUCUCUGUCAUAUGGAUGCUAGCGACACUAUCAUAUACGUGAGCCAAAAGGCGCAAACGGUCCCGGGCCAGGUAAGGUGGCACCUAUGGGAAUACCGUGCGUGAGGCUGCAAAGUGAUAUCAUGUGUGACAUGCCAGAUCGGUGCGACUUAGGAUCGGGGUCCUGACAGCGGAGGGCAGGGCUGCGGCGCGAGAUAGGGAGAGAAAGUGAAAACCAGGUCAUUUUCACUCGCAAGGGGGUAACGAAGCUUACCUAUUCAUUGUUAGUGCUGGCUUAGGUGACGUUGCCAAUGCCAGCACUAGGUUUUUAAAAUAGGGUUGGCCACAUAUUCGUGCAUGGCGUUUUGAGCGACGACAUGCAUAAUAUAGAUAUUUAAAGUGACACAAAUUCUUCUCGUGGUUCAGAGUACAUAAAUAUGGUACAGUUAGUUUAGGGUACACAAAUUCUUUUCGUGGUUCAGAGUACACAAAUGAAUCAUGAAGUAUGACAUCAUUUGACAACCCUCUCAACGAUGGUUUGGGUCUUCUUAAUGUUGCUUGAAUACUUCCGCCCGUUCUAUGAGUCUUUCUCAGGAAGGGACGUCCUGUCGCAGGCAAGGUAGUUCUUCUCCUUCUAGUGGUGUAGUCAUGCUCUUCAUACAUCUCAUCUUCUAUUGGGUCCACGCCAAAUUGAUCAUGGUCAUACUCAUUGGCGACUCCGUCCAUCCUGACGAUGCUCCUUUUGCCUGUCCGUACGACAAGAUGACUCGGCUUUGAAGGGUUAGUUAAAUAGAAGCAUUGUGCAACGUCCUUAGCGAAUACCCCAGGCUCAUAUUUGGCAGUGAUUCCUUUCACUCUUUUUGCACCAGCAGGUUGUGCUUCGGGCAAAGACAUGGUAAUGAAACCACGUUCUUCAUGCUCGACGUUCUUCGCCCAUCUGACCCUGAACAAUGGCACCGUGUAAUCUUCUCUGUACUCAAGUUCCCAUAUCUCUUCGAUCUUGCCAUACUAUCUAUUACUCUCAUUCUUGGUCAACUGCAGCAUCGUCACACCUGAGUUCUGGUAAUAAUAGUUUUUGUCCUUCGCCUCAGUACAGAAUGUGUAUCCAUUUAUAUCAUAUGAUUGGUGUGUGGCGACAGUGCAAGCGGGGCCUACAUGCAAUAAAUUUUCAAGCGAUACAUCUUUCCUGUUGUAUUUCUUAAGAAAGGAUUUGGUCAAACAUUUUGCUUAGUCAGACUUCAGACAAGUUUUAUAUGCAGAGUAAAAGGAUAAUCCCUCCGUACCAGUGCAUUGCCUGAUAUAUUAACUCAAGUACUAGGCAUGAACAAACGGGGCUCAAUUUUGUGCUCAUCCUGGUGUAGUACUCCUAUUAGUACUAGGCAAAGGAGUUGACAGGUGACCUUGGGUAGAGGCAACCGAGGGAAGUGAACCAUGCUCAGCACGGUAGGUAACGUUUUCUAGUUACUAAAGCAUCCCUCCAUUGUUCACCGAUAGUCAUUAUGGACCGGGGACAUGAGGGGAAUUUCCUAGUACUGGAAUUCUGGCCGCCAGAUAAUUCAACUCGAAACGUGGAGGCUCGACUGGUUGGGGUUGGCUAAUGUGCGUACCACACACGCCAACAGAAGGACACGUGCCCGGGUUUUUUUUAGGAUCAACACGAGUCAGGGUCUGGCUGGUACACCGUUGGGUCCUACCAUUCGAGAAUACAAAAGGAAUCUUUUACAUUGCCGAACGAAUCUAUGUGUAUUACAAUGCCCGUAUUUUCAUUGUAAAUAGUAAUCUCAACAUGGUAAUUGAUUUAUGACGAGUUCUUGAAUUAUAGUGAGUUUGUGAUAUAGAGAUCUCAACAUGGAUUUCACAUUUCAUGGUAUCCCUAGUAAGUUUUUCAUUGCAAAUUCAAAUUUAAAAGAUGAACGGUAUGGUGGUGAGAAAACUUUUUAUGUAUCAAGCAUAUGACCACACACACACACACAAACACACACACACACACGAAUACAACAACAAUCCAGUAAGUAUAGUGCAUCUAUUUUUGCAAACCAUGCAUGUAUGACACGAAUUCAAAAAUACUCCUAUUGUUACUAAAUAUUUUUCUUUCAGAGAUUUCAACAAGUGACUACAUACGGAGCAAAAUGAGUGAAUCUACACUCUAAAAUAUGUCUAUAUACAUCUGUAUGUGGCAGUCCAUUUGACAUCUCUAAAAAUACUAAUAUUUAGGAAUGAAGGGAGUAAAAUGUAAGACAUGCAUGGUGCUCAAUUCAAUAUUUAAAAUAGACAGGAAACUGAAACAUGAAUAUUAAGUCUAGUACUACAUACAUGCAAAUGUUGUGUUUAGGCGGAGCUAUGUAGAUUGUCGGGGGUUAACCCCUCGACCUGAGAUAAAAUUGGGAAGCUCUAUUUAGGAUUGUUUAGAUUGUAUUAUUUGAACAUUAUAUUUGUCCCCACCCUCCCAAACACCGAUUGGUUGUGCACCCCCCUCCCCGGGAGAAUAUCGUGUGCCCCCACACCUUACACUACUGCAUGAUGCUACUAACGCGACACUACGAUCAGAGACCCUUCGACAUAACUAUGUGCGAUUCCAUAAUCGCAAACGGUGCUGUAAAAAACCAUCAAAAAAGGUGCAAAACUUUUGCGAUGGCGGAGCCAUCAAACACGGUUCAGAUUUUAGUUGCGUGUGCGAUGCAUGGCAUAAGAUUCAGUUCAAUAACUGUUUUGCGACGAGGAGGAACAAAAGAAACGGGCAGCCAGAUGGAGGUGUUUGCGAUAUAUACAUCAUAUGGUUCACUCAGAUGAACUAUUUGUGAUUAGGCAACACAAAAGAAACGGUCAGCCAGAUGAAGGUGUGUGCGACAUACAGCAUGCGGUUCACUCGGAUGAACUGUUUGCGUUGAGACAUGAGAACAGAAAUGGUUCAACUUAACAAGAUGUGUGUGAUACGCGGCAAACAGGUCUAUACUCAGAAAUGUGUGUGAAGACCGAUAAUAACACACAUGGUUGUUGCUAAUAAGACGUGUGUGUUGUGCGAUGGGAUUCCAUACAGAACAACAACAUAUAUAUACACACUUAUAAGGACAUGCUUGCAUAACCAAAUUAAACAUCCACUUACAUAGGUGGCUACUACAACCAUGGCAUUUGCACACACCAAAGUAAACUAUUACAUGCAUAAUUACAUAGGUGGCUACUACACACAUGACAUUUCCACACACCAAUAAAGUAUACUAUAUAUUACAUGCAUGAUUAACUAGCAUAAACGAUCAUCUGAUCAUCAUCUACUUCUUGUGACACUUGCUCUUCUUGUGGCUCGAUCCGGGCUCGUCGAUUUGGGUAACGAGGCACUUCCUCAUGUCAAUGAUCCACCUGUGCAUCUCGUAGCAUGUGUACACGCUCUUGGUCGCGAACCUAAGGUGAGGUUCAUCCAGUUGCAGCAUCCGGGCCCUGUGCCAAGAUAGGGGACUUGUUCUCUGGGCAUCCUGCUUCAUCUUUUCGUAGUAGAGGUCGAUGAUGGCCGAGGAGAGUUCGACCAGCAAGUCCUUUUUCGUGCUGCCCUAGACCCUGUAGUUGUCACGGAUUUUGACAAGGUUCUUGCAGUCCAAGCCCGUAACACUGAGCGCUUUUACAUCGUCGGUGGUUUCCAUCAUGGCGAACUGUAGUCGGUGUUGUUGACAAACCUGAUGAAACGGUCGCUAGGCUCUGUGGCCAUGCAGUAGUGGUACAUGAGGACAUGAUGGCGCACGCACAACUAGGCUACGGCAACCAUAUGAUCUAUGCCGGGACGACCAGCGGUGUACUGGAGGUCGAUGCCGACCACCUUGUACUUGUCUCCAGCAAGCAACUGCUCAACGCAGUUGAUGUAGUCGUCCACCAUGGCCGGGUCGAUGGUUUACACCACCGAGAGAUCCGUCUUCCUUGCGUGGGUCUCCACUCUAUGCUCGCCGAACUCCAUUGGAGCGCCGCUGGACAUCCCCUCUCUAUGUGUCGUCGUGGGUGUGCUUGUUGUGUUGUGGGGCGCGAUCGAACCCCCAAAAUCCCAAUGCUUAUCGGCCUGCUAUAAAAACCCUCUUGCCGGCGAGUCCUGCGUCGCAUUUUCCCCUCCCUCCCUAUAGCUUAUCUCGUGUGCUUCUCCCACAAUCACCAAUGGCACCGGUCCGUCGCCGUCAUUAGAGGACAGCUCCAGCUGGGAGGCUACACCGCGGGGAUGGCGUAGGUCCCGGCAUAGUGUAGUGCGCGUGGCGUCCCUGUUGGGUCUGCGCGGAACACCCACCACAUGCCGGCCGCCGUUGCCACCACACAACCGUCAAAAGCCAGGGCCAUCUCCCGCUCCGCUGCCGCGGCCCAAAGGCGGGAGGUGGCCGUCAUGGCCGCCACCCCACUGCCGGCCACUGUAACAUCCCAAAUUUUCAAUUUGGAAUGUUAUACAUUAGAUCAUCAUUGCACAUCAUAUUUUAUUGCAUUUUGGAUUGAUCCUAGAAACUCUACACAACUCAAGGACCCACGAAGAGAGUUGGGGAUUUCGUUAUUUUCAUAUUUGAGUUUUCUCAAAUUUUUAAAAGAGGAUCGUUUGAUUUUAAUUAUUUUCUCUUCAAAUAUUUCUUUUAUAAAAAUAAAAGAGAGGGGAUAAAAUGACUUUCCCAAAAUAAAGAAAUACUGGAGAUUUAAUAUUAAAAUAAAAUAAGAAUUUUAUACGGAGUUUUAUCGCUAUUUUAUUUGAAUUAGGAAAAAUAUGUGUUUUUUAAAAUUGCAUUAGGGUCCUGAAUAAAUGUUCAUGUUGUCCGUUAGAUUUUUAGAGGACGGGGAAAAUUUAUUUCAUGAUUUUUGGAGUCCGUUUAGUAUUUCUAUUCUUCGUUUUUCUGCGCGGAAUUAAUUUAAAUAUAAAACGCCACCGACCUUACCGGUUCGUCUCUGCCUGGGACACUGACCCGACCAGGCCUUUAAAGCCUGAGGCGCCGAGCCGUGCCAGCCCAAGCCGCCGCCGCCGAACCCUGGCCCCGCCCCACCGCCAGUUCCGCGCCGCCGCCGAUCCGNNNNNNNNNNNNNNNNNNNNNNNNNNNNNNNNNNNNNNNNNNNNNNNNNNNNNNNNNNNNNNNNNNNNNNNNNNNNNNNNNNNNNNNNNNNNNNNNNNNNNNNNNNNNNNNNNNNNNNNNNNNNNNNNNNNNNNNNNNNNNNNNNNNNNNNNNNNNNNNNNNNNNNNNNNNNNNNNNNNNNNNNNNNNNNNNNNNNNNNNNNNNNNNNNNNNNNNNNNNNNNNNNNNNNNNNNNNNNNNNNNNNNNNNNNNNNNNNNNNNNNNNNNNNNNNNNNNNNNNNNNNNNNNNNNNNNNNNNNNNNNNNNNNNNNNNNNNNNNNNNNNNNNNNNNNNNNNNNNNNNNNNNNNNNNNNNNNNNNNNNNNNNNNNNNNNNNNNNNNNNNNNNNNNNNNNNNNNNNNNNNNNNNNNNNNNNNNNNNNNNNNNNNNNNNNNNNNNNNNNNNNNNNNNNNNNNNNNNNNNNNNNNNNNNNNNNNNNNNNNNNNNNNNNNNNNNNNNNNNNNNNNNNNNNNNNNNNNCGCCGCCGCCGGAGACCACCACCUCGCCCUCCGGACCACCGCCGGAGGUAGCCGCCGCCGCCUCGCGGUUCGUCGGUUUUCUCAAAAAACCGUUCUUUUUUUUGUAAACCCUAGAUCUGUUUUUUUCCAGAUCUGAUUCGAAUUUUUUUUCGUUUAGUUAACUAGCGAACGCCCGUUUGUUCGUUUGUUUUAACGAACGAUUUUCACCAUUUAGCCGCAGACAGCGAACGUUCGUUCGUUAGCCUGUUCGUCAGUUUUUCGUUUCCAGGGUUUUUCCGCGAUUAUUUUCGAUCGCGAUUUCUGCCCUGUUUUUCGUUUUAGUUUAUCUUUUCGCUCAUUUAUCGGAAUCAGGCGAUUCAAGAGCCUAGAGUUUCGUCUCGAAGCCCUCUUUCUGUUUAACCAACUUAAACAAGUUUCUGCUACUGUACAAUUUGACUUAAGUCCAGAUUAAUAAACGGAGCUUGUUUCUUUCGUAGUUUGAGUUUUGUUGCUUCAAAUAGGUCCAAGGAAAUGUUCAUGUUUCUCUCUGAAAAUAUUGGCCAAAGGUAAAAUUCAAAUCAAUAUUUUUAGGAGCUCAUAAAUAUUUAUUUUGGACAUUUAAGUUAAUUCAAUAAUUAUUUGCAUUGGAGUUAUAUUUGUUAUAUAUUAAAUAUAACUCCAAUAACUCUGAAAGUUUGUAAGGUUUUGAACACUUUUUAAAAAGGCCACAUAAUAAUUCCCAGAAGUUUAUGAAAUGAUCUGGUAUUUAAAUAAAAUCAAAACCCAUUGCAGAAAAUAGAAACCAUAAAUAAAUAGAAAAACUAGAGAGAGAGAGAGAGAGAAGGACUUACCUGGAGCCCCACCGCAACGCAGCAGAGGCCCAGCCCACUGGCCUCUGCCAGUCACCAUGAACCUCCCGCCAGGAGAACCAGGGCGUGUGCCCGCCGCGCCCUAGCACACACCGGCCACCUCCUGCUUGCUUGCCGCCUCCCGAACAUCGCUAUGGACGCCACACAACCCCUGGAACCCCCUUGUCCUUCCCCUGGCUCUCUCCCUCGCCCUCUCCCGCCAUGGCCGAAGCCGACGUUCGCUCGCCGCCGUCGAACCGACGACCGUGCUCCCCUCGCCUCCCCGUGUUGCCACGAUAUCCGCCGUCGUCUGUCACUUCUCCUCGACCCAGCCUCGAGCGCUCGUUCGCCCUGCGUCGUUGCCCCGUCGACCUCUUCCCCGCUCGUCCACCAAGAUCGCAGACGACCUCACGACUUCUCCAGCCCGUCCCCGAGCUCGCCGUUCGCUCCCAUACACCCGCCGUGAGCUCCUGCACCUUUCCCCCUCUCUUGCACGCUCGUUUAAGCACCGUAGCCGUCGUAGCGACGAUGACCGAAUCACGCUGCCGCCUGAGCUCCUCGCCGCCGUGGCCACGUUCACCAUAGCCUCCAACUGUCACAUCCCUAGUUCUGGUAUGACCUAGACUAGCUAGUCAUGUGUGCAUCAUGUUUAAAUUCCAUUUAAAUUUGAAGUGGGGAUUUGGGAAACCCGCAGAAUCAUUUCUGGAAAUGACCCAGAUAAAAAUUGCUCCAAAAGGGUCCAAGAAAAUGUUCAUGUUGCACUCUGAAAAUAUUGGACAGAGAUAAAAAUCAAACCAAUAUUUUUAGGAGCUCAUAAAUAUUUAUUUUGGGCAUUUGGAAUUAAUGCUGUAAUUAUUUUCUUUGGAUAUAUAUUGUUAUAUAUAUAUAAUAUUGUCCAAAAAUUAUGCCAUUUGUUGAGGAGCUCUGGAAUAAUACCACUAGCCCCUACAAAAAUUGGCAUAAGAAAAUAAAAUGGUUUAUUAUUUUUAUUAAACCAAACAAAUGUCAGAAAAAUAGAAAAGAAACAGAAAUGGAAAAAAACCUACCUGUGCUUACCUACGGCCCAGCUGGACCAGCCCGCCAGCGCCGUCGUCCUCCUGGCGCCAGUCGGCCAAGCGUGUGGCCGGCGCGCGCGCACGGCCGUGCCGCCACGCCACCUGCCUGCCUGUCCUCCCCCUCGUCGCCUGGAUGCCCUGCGCGACGCCACGCGCCGCCCCGCACCUCUCUUACUCUCUCCCGUGCCCAUUUCCUCUUCCCUCGCUCUCUCUCGCGCACGGCCAAACGCCACCGUCGCCGCCACUCGCCGCUGCCGCAGCCACCGCCUCCCCCUCGACCUCUCUCCGCGCCCGAGAGCUCCGCCACGACGUCUUCUACGUCCUCGACGAGCCAGGCAACUGGGGACGCAACGUAUCACCGCCUCCGCCGUCAUCUUCAACUCCGGCCGCCGUGGAUCUCCACCGCCCGUCCGUCGCCUGCAGAGCCUCCCCCGAGCCGCCGUUUCCUCUGCUGGACUCCUCGUGAGCUCCCACCUCGAAUCGUCCUCUCCCCUUUGUCUUUUGCAAGCUGCAGCCACGAUCCCGCCCGAGGCCGAACUCCGGCCGCCGCCGCGAGCUCCGCUCCGGCGAGCUCCGCCGCCCCCGCAGCCUCUCGCUGGCUCCCCUGGAUGCGCGGGAGCACGUGCAACCUCCUGGUGCCCCCAGCCGCCGCUUCCGUGGCUUCCAGCGGGGACUCCGCCGUGGCCAGUGGUCGCCGGCGACGAGCCCCGUCGCCUGAGCCCUGCCACGUGGGUCCGGCCUGGCAGGUGAUUAGCUUAGCGCUAAUCACCGCCUGAUUAAUCCCCCUGACACUGACAUGUGGGCCCAGUGCGCCCUAAUCUUUUAAUUAGAUUAGUAAACCCCCUAUUUAACACUGUGUCACUGACGUGUGGAUCCCACACGUCAGGUUUGACCCAGUCAGCGCUGUUGACUUGCUGACGCAAGCAUGACGCAAUGCUGAUGCAGUUAUUUAUUUUCUGGAUUUAAAUUAAAUCAGGAAAUUCCAGAAAAUAGCCAAAACUUCUAAAAUUCAUAGAAAUUCAACCGUAACUCAGAUUGAAAUAAGUUAUAUAUGAAACAUUAUCAAAAAAUUCAAUAUAUCCAUCUGUACCAUUUUCAUGCAUGAAAAACCAACCUAUACAUGCUGUAUAUAUGAAAACACACUUAUGGCAUUUAAAGGGACUUAACUUAGAAUUGCAUUUGAACCUUUGGUUCAAAUGGACCUCUUCCAAGUUAAAUGCUAGUUGCAUUAACUCAAAUAGCAUCACAUCUACAUGCCAUGAUCAUGCAUCAUAUUGUUGCAUAUGCUUUUUUAUUGAUUGUCGACACCGUUCCUUCUCGAUAGGUCCUGCUCCGAAGAGUGCUCGAGAGUACCUGUCUGAGGAGCAGUGGAACCCUAUUGAUCUACCAGGCAAUCAAACCCCCCUUGUUCAUUCUGAUACAAUCCUACUCUCGCUCCUGCUCUCUUUUAUUGCAUUAGGACAACAAUGAUUCAACUGCUACUUUAUGCUGUGGUAGUUGAACCCAUUCCUCUGCAUGACCUGUCAUUGCCACAGUAAAUAGUUGAAACCCACUAGCAUGUGUAGGAGUUGAUUGAGCCAUGUUGUGUUCCUACCAUGCCAUGCCUGCUAUUGCUUAGAGUUGUGUCAGGUCUGAUUCAUUGGGAAUGAAUUGGAGUGUUACGAUAUGUUCUGGUGCUGAGAGUUAAGUGUAUGAACACGAUUUGGUAAAGGUAGCGGUGAGAGGCCAUGUAGGAGUACAUGGUGGGUUGUCUCACUGGAACCGUCCUUAAGCACUGAGUUCUGUGUAUGUUGUCCAAUGACUAGCUACUACCACACAUUGGGUUCCGGUAACUCGACCCCUCUCGCCUUAUUAACCAACUUGAUCUCUGUCCAGGAGUUGCAAUUAGUUUUUGGUGUUUGUAGGUAGUGUUAGUAGUCUACCAAGUGGCACCCGGCCAGGUGGGCUUGGGACAGACUAGGCACAAGUGGCACAGUGUACCAAGCGUAGAUCCAUCCGGCGAGGUGGGCUUGGGAACCCUGCACACAUCGUUUGGGGCCGUGAGCGACACCCCGGCCGGAUCUCCUUGCGGAUGGAACCCGAAUAGGCGAUAAACCUGGACUAGAGUCUUGUGUGGUUAGUCAGGUCGUGGCCGACACCCUCGCCAGGCUUCCGCUUGAAGGUUGCCGAGAUACAUGACGUGUACAUGGCGGUAAGUGGCAAGAGCGUGUGUGAGCAGUACACCCCUGCAGGGUUAUCAUGAUCUAUUCGAAUAGCCGUGUACUCGGUUAUGGACUUCUUGGAUGCUUACGUGGUACAUAGACAACUUGAAGUGGAUACUCUAAAAUGCUCAAGAUAAGUGUGAGUGCUAUGGAUGGCUUCUCGUAGUGAGACGGGAAUGAAUCCAUAGUGGUGUAUUGAGGUGGUGAUUAGUGGACUCGUGUGCCCUUUCUUACCUCAAAGAAGUUACUCGUAGUCGUAGAAUAGGUUAGCCACUGAGUCAAAGCUGGCUUGCUGCAACUGAACCCCACAUUGCCUCCUUGAUACUAGUGCAUGUAUGAUAGGAUCUGAUGUAAGUCUUGCUGAGUACCUUUGUACUCAUGUUGCUUUAUUUAUGUUUUUGCAGUGGAGACUUCAGUCUUACUAGUAGUUCCGCUUGGACAUCGACGAGUAGCUUGUACCUCAGCUACGAUCUUGUACCCUUGGGAGGGGCUUGUAGAUAGUCAGGCUUCUCAGCCUUUUCUUUUGUAGUUGUCUGUACUCAGACAUGUAAUGCUUCCGUUGCUUGUAUGCUCUGAAUGAUGGGUCAUGUGACCCCUGUUUGUACUUAAUGCUAUGUGGCUCUUCUGGGCCUUUUAUCUAUAUGAGUUUGCGUUAUGUUGUGAUGCCAUGUUGUACAGCACAUACUUGCAUGUUAUGCGUACGUGUAACGUGUAUUGCUAUGUGUGGGAUCCGACAACCUAGUUGUCUAUCCUUGGUAGCCUCUCUUAUGGGGAAAUGUAGUCUAGUGCUUCCACCGAGCCAUCGUAGUCCGCUACAGCCCGGUUUACCGGAGUCCUGCUAGCCCAGCACUACUGCUCCGGAACACUUAGACUGGCCGGUAUGUGAUUCACUUCGUUCCUGUCUGUCCCUUUGGGGAAAUGUCACGCGGUGACAUCUGGAGUCCUGCCUAGCCUGCUACAGCCCGGGUUCCCGGAGUCCUGUUAGCCCAGUUGCUACAGCCCGGAUUCACACGCUGCUGACCGACAUGCUCGAUGUUGUUUCAUGUAUGCCUGUUCCCGUAAGUUAGUGCCACUUUGGGUUCACGACUAGUCAUGUCAGCCCGGGUUCUUUGUCAUAUGGAUGCUAGCGACACUAUCAUAUACGUGAGCCAAAAGGCGCAAACGGUCCCGGGCCAUGGUAAGGCGACACCCGUGGGAAUACCGUGCGUGAGGCCGCAAAGUGAUAUGAGGUGUUACAUGCUAGAUCGGUGUGACUUAGAAUCGGGGUCCCGACAACAACCGAGUUCACCCACGUGCUCGUCGUGCUGCGUAGGUGUCGUGGGAGCUAAGCACGCAAUGCCACGGCCGCCGUCGUUUGGGUCCGCCCCGGCAUGAGCUAAAGGCUCCACUGGAUGCGCGCGAUCCCCAGCUACACAUAGGACCAAACCGCAGUCGAUUUGGUCGACUGUGGGCAAGUCCCGAGCCCUUCCGCCGUCUCUGGCCUUGCCGGCACGAGCCGCGAGUCAACUCCGGCGAGUUUGACCUAGGUUGGCCCUGUUUGACUUCCCCAUGGGUCAAUGACAUGCGGGCCCAGCCCGGCUAAUUAACCUAGUUUAGUUUUGAACCUAAUUAGUUUAAUCUAGGAUUAGUGCUAAUUAAACCAGGAUAGUUUCGUUGGUAACUAACACGCAGGACCCACUGGUCAGUUUGAGCUGGGCUGCUCCGUUGACUGCUGACGUUAGCGUGAUGUCAUGCUAACGCAAUAAAUCAUUUACUGGAUUUUGUUUAAUUCUAAAUAAGCAGAAAAAUCUAGAAAAUGAUUUGAACUUAAAAAAAUCAUAGAAAAUAAUCUAUAGCUCAGAAUGAAAUAAGUUAUAUAUGAAAAAUUAUCAGAAAAAUCCAAAGAAUCUGGUUAUGGCAUUUGCAAGCAUGUUUGAGCAACCUAAAGAUACUGUAUAUGACAAUUUGAAUUAAUGGCAUUUGAAAUGCCUUAUGUGGAGUUUGAAUUUGAAUCUAGUGUUCAAACCAACUCCAUUUAAGUCGUUGCUAGCCGCAUUAGCUCAACUCACAGCAUAUUGCCAUGUCAUGAUCAUGCAUCAUAUUGUUGCAUUGCAUUGAUUGUGUUCUUUCUCUGUUUGCCGGUAUUUGUCCCCUCUCAAUAGAUGUGUUCUAUCCUUGGUAGCCUCUCUUAUGGGGAAAUGUAGUCUAGUGCUUCCACCGAGCCAUGGUAGUCCGCUACAGCCCGGUUUACCGGAGUCCUGCUAGCCCAGCACUACUGCUCCGGAACACUUAGACUGGCCGGCAUGUGAUUCACUUCGUUCCUGUGUCUGUCCCUUCGGGGAAAUGUCACGCGGUGACAUUCGGAGUCCUGCCUAGCCUGCUACAGCCCGGGUUCCCGGAGUCCUGUUAGCCCAGUUGCUACAGCCCGGAUUCACACGCUGCUGACCGACAUGCUCGACGUUGUUUCAUGUAUGCCUGUUCCCGUAAGUUAGUGCCACUUUGGGUUCACGACUAGUCAUGUUGGCCCGGGUUCUUUGUCAUAUGGAUGCUAGCGACACUAUCAUAUACGUGAGCCAAAAGGCGCAAACGGUCCCGGGCCAUGGUAAGGCGACACCCAUGGGAAUACCGUGCGUGAGGCCGCAAAGUGAUAUGAGGUGUUACAUGCUAAAUCGGUGUGACUUAGAAUCGGGGUCCCGACAGCUUUGGUAUCAGAGCCUGACUGCCUGUAGGAUUUCCAAGCCAAACUGGUCGAAGUUGAGUCUAGAAAUUCUUUAGUUAUGUAAGGGAAUUGAUUGUGGAAGGGAACGUAAGGCUCUUUUUACUCCUUUUACCUCAUGCCUUCUGAUCUGAGUCAUCCUAUCUUUCCUACGGGGUUAAGGAACUAGGCUUUCUCUUCCGUCUAUCAGGAUCACAUGUUACUACUCCGUAGUCUCUUAGGAUUGGUUGAUCAGAGUCAUAUCCCAGUUCGAGUACCUCCGGUGUAGCCUGUUCAGUAAUAUCUCAGAACCUUGAGUGACGAUGUUGAGUAUGGUGCUACCCCGCCUUUUGCAGAAUGUCUCAUUUUGAGCAUUUUACUACCGUUAUGCUGCCGGAUUUGUCCUAGGAGCUUGAGAGAUACUAAAUUUCCUUAUGCUACAUGUUGCAUCCUAUAGUUGUUGUUGACCUCGUCCUUGGUUCCGCUUCUCAGGAUGUCAUCAGUUAACCGAAGUUCUGUUGCUCGUUGCCUGAACCACGGAGGUGGUAGGGAUGAGGAGGAUCCACCCGACCAGCCUUCGUUGGCAGAGUUUAUGUUAGAGAUGGAGAGGAACAAGCAUGAGUCUAACCGCUUGUUAGCACGUAUCGAGGAGAACACCGCACCUCAGUGCAAAGAGUCAGCGACCAUCUAUGAUUUCAUUUGUUUGAAACCACCUACCUUCCAUCAUUCCAUUGAACCACUCGAUGCAGAUGACUGGCUCCGUAGUAUCACACACAAGCUGCGUUCUGCGAACAUAGCUGAAGGUGACAAGGUCACUUAUGUUGCAUAUCACCUGGAAGGUCCUGCUAGUCUUUGGUGGCAGAACUAUGAGGCUAUGCUUCCAGCUGGCCAGAUACCGACCUAGAGGGAUUUCGCUGAGGCUUUUCGCGAGCAUCACAUUCCUCAGGCUCUCAUUGACCGCAAGAGAGAAGAGUUCUGUAGUUUUACCCAGGGUAAGAUGGCUGUUGAUGCUUACAGUAGAGAGUUUGAGAACCUCGCCCGCUAUUCUACAGAAGAAGUGUCCACGGACGCUAAGAAGCAGGCUAGGUUCCGGAAGGGUCUCAACCCCAAGUUGCGUCGAGACCUCCACCUGCACCAUUGCAAUACAUUCCAGGCUCUUGUGAACAAGGCCAUUAAUGCGGAGACAGCUCAUCUCACCUACGAGGAGUCUCGUAAGCACACUCGUGAAUUGGGUUCUUCCUCCGGUUCUAGUUCUCAGAAGCGCCGGAUUUGGAUUUCGAACUCUGCUCUUCCACCCGGUUAUACACCGAGGCCAUCUUAUGUGGCGCCUCACCCAGUUCAGCCGUAUGCUCCACCCAGGCCUAUUGGUGGACCGCCUGCCAACACGGGUCCACAUCCUACCUCCAAGAUUUGUUACAAGUGCGGAGAGCCAGGACACACCGCCCGUAUUUGCACUCAGGCCCGUGUUGCUCCACCCCAGCCCGAGAAGUCUGUUGGCCGUGGUAAGCCAUCAUGCAAGAUGAUCAGUACCAAGUCAGCUCCCACUGAAUGUGGACGUGUGCAUCACGUCUCAGCUAAAGACGCUCGGGAUGAUCCAGAUGUCGUUCUUGGUACACUCCUUGUAAACUGUCAUCCAGCUUCGGUUCUAUUUGAUACUGGCACUACAACAAGACCCCCACUAUAGCAACGCCUUUUUCCGUAUCUAAAUGUCCAUAUAUGCGUUGCUAGGUUCUUUACCAACGGUUUGGGAUGCGUAGCCUUAUCCAGUGUUGCUAGCGCAUAUGCAACGCUUAUACUAUCGUUGGUAAAGGGGUCCGUUGCAAGAGAACAACAGAUAAAACGGACUUUACAACAAUUUUAUAUGUUGGUGCUUGAUGUACAUGAAUCAAAAUCCCAUUGCUUGGCAACGGAGAAUUUCCAACGUUUCAAGUGUUGGUACAUAUAUAGUGUCAAUAAUAAUAUUAUAUGUAUAUAUAAUUAUAUAUUGCUAGCAAUUAAAUUAAUGCUCCAUGUAAAGGCGAUAAUUAUGUAUUUCAAGUGAACGAAAAACAACACGAUAUACUCACGAGAGGAAGAAAUCAUAUAUUAGAUCAAAACUGUUGGAUUACAAUAGUGGAUAUUACAGGAGGAACAUCAUCCAAAUGUGAUGCAUAAUCUAACAAUUUUCUUGACAGUGAAACUUAAACUGAAAAUAUCCAUCUUAACUAAGGAACAACAUCCGACAGGAACGUCAUCCCUACAACAUAACUAAAACUAAAUGCAUCCGUCAUCAUCAUCAUGAAACGGAUCAUCGACAUCAUCAUUGCAGUAUAAUCCCCACGCUCCCAUAUACUCAUCCAUUUAUCUUUUGAAUCUACAAACAAGAAAACAAAACUGAACUGUUAACACACAAUACCUUGACAUGAUGCAAGUAGUAAUAUAGGCAAAUAUUAGUCACGUACAAAGGUUGAAGGCCAUGCAAGCUUUUAUUUUUAUGCAUUACCGAGAGUAUUGCAGUUUUGCGACUUCAUACCAAAUAUUAAGUUUGCACUAGUGCCAUAUCGACAUGCACUACCCAGAAUUCACUUCUAAUUUCAGGACCAUCAAGUUUAAAUUUAGGAUCAGAACUUACCAUUGUAUCUAGAGCUACGCCCUUGUUAUGAUUUUUCGGGCUCUUCAAGAAUACUUUAGUUCCUGCCUGUUAGAAAAAAUAAAAGUUGCCAUAUGAGAAGACAGAAACAAAACAGGGGAACAUAUGAAAUGAAUUUGAGCACAACAGAUAGUUCAUUGGCAUCCAUCCAACUCUGGGAACCACUUCGAGCACUCUUACAGCAUGCAUUAGCACCUUAUGUUGUUUUUGUAGUCUGGACAACAGACUGAUAGCAAAGAAGUAAUAAACAACUAAAGAAGCCACAAAUAGUCUAAACAAAAUUUGUAUGUGAUUAUGAAAGGAUACCGCUUGUUUGCAACAGAAGUUUUUUCUCCCUGACAUGCACUAACAUUCUUAUUUUUAACAGCAUUUAGCAAGACGACUAGUAGAUACAUAACCAUUGGAGCAACAUAUUUUGAACAUAUUGUAUAUGGGAAUGGAUAUAUACCUUAUCUGCAGCAGAAUCUAUUUCCCUUCGCCCGUGCACUGAAAUUCUUGUCCAUUACAUAUCUGCUGCAACAUGACAAUGACCAAAAGUUUAAAUAAAUUAUGUAAAAGACAAUAUUCUGUGGUCCUACUCGACCUUAUGACAGUCAUCCCCACAGAUGUGAAGAUGAUUAAUUCAGAUUUCAGCUCAAACAAUCAUAUUUUGAAGUAAUUUCUACCCCUACAAUCAAUAAAAAUAAGUCUUACCACAUUUGUUCCUUAUCAAAUCAAAAUAGCAACUCAUUUAGUACUGAGUAGGUACUGGGAAUAAAUCAAGCUAUUCCUAUUUCAUAGUGAAAACGAUGAACUAAGACAUGAAACCGUUACUCUAAAAUGUAAAUUUGCAAGGGGUCCAUUAUUUUGUUCAUCAGGUGUAUAAGAAAAAGAGCAAGUAACAAAAUGAAACUCCAUAUAGCAGCUCUUUCAAUGACCCCAUGCUUUUUAGUUUUUUUUUCUAUGCUGGGAACAUUACUAUGAAUAAAAUGCAGUUAUCUUUCGAUACUAGUAAUUUAACUGUUGAUCUAUUUCAGUUGCUUAGGGAAGAUGAACUUGUACUUGUGUGGUAUGAUGUUUAACUUGGUUUUUGCAGGGGGGAACACAUGUUCAGGUUUAACACUAUCCACGGAUAGUAAGAGGAUCAUAAGCUCAAGGACACCCAAGUUCAUUCUCUUUGGUGUUAAGGAGGUUUCCUUCAUGCACAAGCAUUAUAGCUAGGCUGAUGAGAUUUUCAAGUUGGAACUGUGAGGAGAUCCCAUGGGCCAAGGCUGAGUGUGUUGCAGAGUAUACAUGUGUUUUCACUAUCGUGCACAUGGUUGUUCACUAACAUUUAUUUUGAGAACAAGUGUGUUGUUUUGUAGACUGGACUUGUAGUUGUGCUGCUGCAGAUCAUGUUCUGAUAUUCAUAAUAAAAUUAACAUUUUUCAUUUUAUUAGGGCCUCACUAGUCAACAUGAUACUUACUGCAAUUUGUCCAUAGGUACGACCAAGAUAACACUUGUUCUAGUCACUCCAUCGUCCAUUUUCUACAAAUGACACCCCAGCCAGAAUACAAUAUGAUAGCAAUAAGAAAAUAACAAGGUCACAAAUGUCUGCACACACACGAAGAAAGAAAGAAAGAAACUAUGCUAAGAACUAACCCAACUGUACUACCCAACUAGAAUAGGAUAGUCAGAAUUGGAGGUCCAUAAAGAAAGUCUAUGAAGAGAUUGAACUCACCAAGGUAGUAAUGGUGCAGAACUACAUUGAAAUAUUGCACGCGUCCACACCUGAAACCUUAAUAGUUACUAGAUUUAAGCCACCUCUUAUGUUCAGUAAACCUAGGAACACCAAAACAAGGAGGCGUCAGGGCACUAUAAUGAAUAAAACCUAAAAAGCUAAUCUCAAUCAAGUAGGGAACGUGUAAGCUUAUAGAAGAAGAAUCUGAAACAACCCCCUCUAUCUCAAGGCCCCCAAAAUUGUGAACCAAUAACAGAGGACAGCUAUCAAACACUUGGUGUGCACUAGCAAAUUCACACAAGAGAAGAGUACUUAGAAAACAUAUAAGGGACAGAUCUGAACCAAGGGGGGAGGAGGCAAAAUCGUCAAGUCGUACUAGUAUUUACCUUGUGUUUCUAUGAAUCGGGGGUGGGGACUGAUCUGCUUUCCAUCCCAGUUGCUGAACAAGACAUGCCUCUUGUGCCCUCAACCUCAAAUCCUCAAUGAAUCGGCGGCGGCGGGGUCAGCUACGAGGUUCAGGAGGGAGGGCAGGCCAUGAUCGAUCUCCUCAAGAUAGAGAUCCUACGAGACGAGGAAGGGAACUGUGUUGAUAAGAUAUGGGGGAGGGGGAGGGGGAGGUUUCCGAUUUGACCUCCUCGCGAUGCCAGAUUUUGGUCUGCGUUCUUGAUUCGUAUGGCG
rnacentral:lncRNA from 1 species